CGCAAUGCCGCGUGUGUGAAGAAGGCCUUCGGGUUGUAAAGCACUUUCGGUGGGGACAAACAAGGCAGAGCUAACAUCUCCGUCCCUGAUGGUACCCAAAGAAGAAGCACCGGCUAACUCUGUGCCAGCAGCCGCGGUAAUACAGAGGGUGCAAGCGUUAAUCGGAAUUACUGGGCGUAAAGCGUGCGUAGGUGGUUUGUUAAGUCAGGUGUGAAAUCCUCGGGCUCAACCCGGGAACUGCGCUUGAUACUGACAGACUCGAGUGUGGUAGAGGAUAGUGGAAUUCCCGGUGUAGCGGUGAAAUGCGUAGAUAUCGGGAGGAACAUCAGUGGCGAAGGCGGCUAUCUGGACCAACACUGACACUGAGGUACGAAAGCGUGGGUAGCAAACAGGAUUAGAUACCCUGGUAGUCCACGCCCUAAACGAUGGGUACUAGACGUCGGGAAGCUUGUCUUCUUGGUGUCGCAGCUAACGCAAUAAGUACCCCGCCUGGGGAGUACGGUCGCAAGAUUA
rnacentral:rRNA from 1 species